UGAUAGGCUUUCUUGAAAGCCAUCUUCUGAAUCUUCAAGAUGUCCU
rfam:Amazona aestiva scaffold_15, whole genome shotgun sequence.